GGCGGACGGGUGAGUAACGCGUAGGAAUCUACCUAAUGGUGGGGGAUAGCCCAGGGAAACUUGGAUUAAUACCGCAUAAGUCCUAAGGGAGAAAGCGGGGGAUCUUCGGACCUCGUGCCAUUAGAUGAGCCUGCGUAAGAUUAGCUAGUUGGUGAGGUAAGAGCUCACCAAGGCGACGAUCUUUAGCUGGUCUGAGAGGAUGAUCAGCCACACUGGGACUGAGACACGGCCCAGACUCCUACGGGAGGCAGCAGUGGGGAAUAUUGGACAAUGGGGGAAACCCUGAUCUAGCCAUGCCGCGUGAGUGACGAAGGCCUUAGGGUUGUAAAGCACUUUCAGAUGUGAGGAAAGGUUACAGAUUAAUACUCUGUAGCUGUGACGUUAACAUCAGAAGAAGGACCGGCUAACUCCGUGCCAGCAGCCGCGGUAAUACGGAGGGUCCGAGCGUUAAUCGGAAUUACUGGGCGUAAAGCGCGC
rnacentral:rRNA from 1 species